AGCAGCCGCGGUAAUUCCAGCUCCAAUAGCGUAUAUUAAAGUUGUUGCAGUUAAAAAGCUCGUAGUUGAAUUUCGGGAUCAAUACGUCGGUCGUGCUUCGGUACGUACUGGCGUAAUUGAUUUCUCCCUUCUGACGAACCAUGAUGUCAUUAACUUGGUGUCAUGGGAAAUCAGGACUGUUACUUUGAAAAAAUUAGAGUGUUUAAAGCAAGCUAACGCUUGAAUACAUUAGCAUGGAAUAAUGAAAUAGGACGUUCGAUCCUAUUUUGUUGGUUUCUAGGAUUGACGUAAUGAUUAAUAGGGAUAGUUGGGGGCAUUAGUAUUCAAUUGUCAGAGGUGAAAUUCUUGGAUUUAUUGAAGACUAACUACUGCGAAAGCAUUUGCCAAGGAUGUUUUCAUUAAUCAAGAACGAAAGUUAGGGGAUCGAAGACGAUCAGAUACCGUCGUAGUCUUAACCAUAAACUAUGCCGACUAGGGAUCGGAUGAUGUUAAUUUUUAAUGACUCAUUCGGCGCCUUAC
rnacentral:rRNA from 1 species